UACGUAGGGGCCGAGCGUUGUCCGGAGUUAUUGGGCGUAAAGCGCGCGCAGGCGGCCUCGCGCGCCCGACGUGAAAGCCCCCGGCUCAACUGGGGAACUGCGCGGGAAACUGUAGGGCUUGAGUUCGGGAGAGGGAAGCGGAAUUCCGGGUGUAGCGGUGAAAUGCGUAGAUAUCCGGAGGAACACCGGUGGCGAAGGCGGCUUCCUGGACCGACACUGACGCUGAGGCACGAAAGCGUGGGUAGCAAACAGG
rnacentral:rRNA from 1 species